rnacentral:rRNA from 1 species
GACGAACGCUGGCGGCGUGCUUAACACAUGCAAGUCGAACGGAAAGGCCCUGCUUUUGUGGGGUGCUCGAGUGGCGAACGGGUGAGUAACACGUGAGUAACCUGCCCUUGACUUUGGGAUAACUUCAGGAAACUGGGGCUAAUACCGGAUAGGAGCUCCUGCUGCAUGGUGGGGGUUGGAAAGUUUCGGCGGUUGGGGAUGGACUCGCGGGUUAUCAGCUUGUUGGUGGGGUAGUGGCUUACCAAGGCUUUGACGGGUAGCCGGCCUGAGAGGGGGACCGGCCACCAUGGGACUGAGGGACGGACCAGAAGCCAACGGGAGGCAAUAGGGGGGAACCUUGCACAAUGGGGGGGAGCCUGAUGCAGCAACCCCGGGAGCGGGAUGACGGCCUUUGGGUUGUAAACCGCUUUCGCCUGUGACGAAGCGUGAGUGACGGUAAUGGGUAAAGAAGCACCGGCUAACUACGUG